GACAUGGACGUAUUACCAACUCCCGAUGAUGGAUUCGAUACAUAUCCACUUGUCAUAGAAUGUCGAACCGCAAAGGUGCAAAAUCACAUCAGCAUCGAUGUUCGAUCUAACCCGGGAGUUAUCUCACCCAUGCAGACGCGGAGGAUGUUAGAUCAAUUCGCCAACGUUGUACACCAAUUAUGCCAGGGCACUACCCAGACAACACUAGCCGACAUCAUAACGAUUAGCCCGGAAGAUGCCCAGCAACUCAUUCAAUGGAAUGGACAAGACCUCGAGCCGGUCCACGAAUGUGUACAUGAAACUGUUACCAGAGCAGCUCGUACUCAUCCUGGUUCUCUUGCUAUAUGUUCAUGGGAUGGCGAUAUGACGUACGAAAUGUUAGAUCGCUUUUCGAAUCAACUCGCACGACACAUUAUCAAACAAGGCAUCCGUCGAGGAAAUCUGGUCCCUCACUGUCUCAAUAAAUCGAAAUGGGCCAUUGUCGUCACCCUAGCAAUUCUCAAAGCUGGAGGGGCAAGUGUCGCUGUCGGGCCGAGAUCACCUCUCCAAAGGUUGGCUGGCAAUAUUCAGACGCUGGAUGCGCCUCUCAUGCUGGUAGAUGAAGAAAACAGAUGUCAAGCGGAAAGUCUUAGCAUUCCACUCAUCACCAUAAGCGAGUGCUUUAUGAUGAGCCUUGACGAUUCAGAUCAGACGAUUGACUCCGGUGUGCGGAGCAAUGAACCUGCGUUUGUUGUUUUUACGUCAGGAAGUACUGGCCAGCCGAAAGCCAUUGUACUGCAACAUGACUCGAUAUGCUAUAGCGC
rnacentral:sRNA from 2 species